CUGAAUUUAUAAAUAGUUGCCAAAUUAAUGUAUAACAAUUCGUUUUCCAGAUGUUGGUGGUUUUGUCAAUAGGUGACUCUGUUCCCUGAGUCAUUUUCAGGGUCUGUCAUUUAAUGUCAGCUGCCCAUGUGGGAAGGAGGGAGAAGACUUGGAUAGAAGCAAUGGGCUGAAACAGUUGUUUGAACAUAGAAGAUUCUUGGUGAUUAUUGCUUCAUUGGUAUUUUGUACAACUCAUGUGAUUGUUGUGUCUGAAACUCUGAACGCCGGAACUUCCUUUACUCCCAUUAAUUAUGCAAAGGAUGUGAACAGUGAGCAACAUGUAGAGCUUCACUGGGAAGAGGAAGAGGACAAGGACAUGCCAUAUCAGAGGUCUGUCAUCACUGAAAAUUGUGUUUACUCUCAUGACAAAUAACAAAUUUCCUAAUAAAUGGUGAAUCACUACUGA